AUUCAACCAGAAAUUACCAGAGCUGUUUGAUUUACUUCUGAAUGCAGUGUUUGAAUAUUCUUGUGAUGAUGAGUUGUUUCCCUUUAUGAGGAACAAAGUGAAGAGAGACCUCUUCAAUGCCAUCAUCAAACCCUCAGAACUUGUCAGAAUGCUGCGUUUCUCAGUGCUAGACCCAAACAACAAGUCUGCAGCAGAAAUGUACGCUGAAAUCGACAGUUUAACUAAUCAGGAUUUUCAACAGAUCCUUGCAGAGUUCAGACAGAACAUCAAAGCAGACAUCUUGGUUGUGGGCAAUGUCACGCCAAAGGAAGCCAUGUGGUAUAAAGAGAGACUGGAAUCAAAGCUAAAUGGAAAAGUGGAACCUUCCAGUAUGUACAAGCGGCGGCUGUACCAGAUUCCCAGACAGUGGAGCUUCUGUCAGAUCAACAGCUUCAACAUGGAGGAUGCCAACUCUGUCAUCACUGUGUACCUACAGUCCGACCCCGGGGACAUCAGAGCCACCGUCAUCAAUGAACUACUGGACACAAGAAUGCAGGAGCCAUGUUUUGAUGUGCUGAGGACACAGCUACAGCUGGGCUACAGUGUCUACUGUCAGAAUCUCCUUACGUACGGCGUCAUGGGAAUGGCCAUUGUUGUCCAGUUCCAAGCCCAAAAAUUCUCGAUGCAUGAAGUGGACAACCAUAUUGAGGACUUCCUUAACAAAUUCAAGGAAAUCUUGGACAAAAUGACCACCAAUGUAUCACUGACAUGCACAGCUUCAAGUCCAAGCUCACAUUGUUCGACCAUCACUGUAUAACCAAGUGACCAAUAAGAACAAAUGAUAAAAAAUUUAGGCUUGAAUUUAAUUUGCUAAAAAUUCCAAAAGGAAAUCAAAAAGACUUGGGACUUAUUGGCUUUUUUAUGUGUAUUUUAUUAUUAUGGGGAUUGAGAAAUGCAACCAAUUUCUUGGAAGGAAUUUAUUUUUACACAAAGUGUAUGGUUGUCUAAAUUACCUGUAUCACCUGUAUGUUUAACACACCAAUGGAUGGUGUACAGUUAAUGUAAUGUACAAUAAAAGGUGAAACUUGGUCUUUCAAAUUGUAGAAAG
rnacentral:misc_RNA from 1 species